rnacentral:rRNA from 1 species
AGCAGCCGCGGUAAUUCCAGCUCCAAUAGCGUAUAUUAAAGUUGUUGCAGUUAAAAAGCUCGUAGUUGAAUUUCGGGGUUAGUAGGUUGGUCAUGCCUCUGGUAUGUACUGGUCUCACUGAUUCCUCCUUCCUGAUGAGCCGUAAUGCCAUUAAUUUGGUGUUGCGGGGAAUUUGGACUGUUACUUUGAAAAAAUUAGAGUGUUUAAAGCAAGCUAACGCUUGAAUACAUUAGCAUGGAAUAAUGAAAUAGGACGUUCGAUCCUAUUUUGUUGGUUUCUAGGAUUGACGUAAUGAUUAAUAGGGAUAGUUGGGGGCAUUAGUAUUCAAUUGUCAGAGGUGAAAUUCUUGGAUUUAUUGAAGACUAACUACUGCGAAAGCAUUUGCCAAGGAUGUUUUCAUUAAUCAAGAACGAAAGUUAGGGGAUCGAAGGCGAUCAGAUACCGUCGUAGUCUUAACCAUAAACUAUGCCGACUAGGGAUCGGAUGAUGUUAAUUUUUUAAUGACUCA